AACGUAGGAGACAAACGUUAUCCGGAGUUACUGGGCGUAAAGGGCGUGUAGGCGGUCUGUUAAGUCUGGCGUGAAAGCUCUCGGCUAAACCGGGAGAGGUCGUUGGAUACUGGCAGACUAGAGGACGGUAGAGGCGUGUGGAAUUCCGGGUGUAGCGGUGAAAUGCGCAGAUAUCAGGAAGAACACCAAUGGCGAAAGCAGCUCUCUGGGACGGUACUGACGCUGAGACGCGAAAGCGUGGGGAGCGAACAGG
rnacentral:rRNA from 1 species